AAAAGUGGUGGUCCAGGAGA
rnacentral:snRNA from 1 species